rnacentral:rRNA from 1 species
CCUACGGGAGGCAGCAGUGGGGGAUAUUGCACAAUGGGGGGAACCCUGAUGCAGCGACGCCGCGUGGGUGAAGAAGCGCCUCGGCGCGUAAAGCCCUGUCAGCAGGGAAGAAAAUGACGGUACCUGAAGAAGAAGCCCCGGCUAACUACGUGCAAGCAGCCGCGGUCCUACGUAGGGGGCAAGCGGUAUCCGGAUUUUCUGGGUGUAAUGGGGGCCCAGACGGGGUUGCAAGCAAGGAGUGAAAGCCCGGGGCCCAACCCCGGGACUGCUCGUGGAACUGCGUGGCUGGGGUGCAGGAGGGGCAGGCGGAAUUCCUGGUGUAGCGGUGAAAUGCGUAGAUAUCAGGAGGAACACCGGUGGCGAGGCGGCCUGCUGGACUGCAACUGACGUUGAGGCCCGAAAGCGUGGGGAGCAAACAGGAUUAGAUACCCUGGUAGUC